UUGGAGAACGCAUCACGUGGGCUGACAAUAGUCUAUGAAAAUUUGAAUUUGAUUGUGAAUUGGUACUAAUAGUUACUGGUACAUUCAACAUUCGAGUGUAAGUAUUAACAUUAAGCACACGAAGAAUCAUCGUCGUCUAAGGACGUUCCUAGUUCAGUUGAUUCGUCAAUGGAUUCACAGUAUUCUAUGUCGUGUACAGAUUUUUCAACUUCAGCCUCGUCCCAAUAAGUUGAAUCGUCGGCUAAACAACGAAGAAAAGAAUCUGGUGCAUCACAUCCAGCAUUCCUUACAUCCAAGUCAUAAUAAUCAAACUCUAGAUCUUGAUCUGGAUCGAAAAUAGCUGAACAAGACUGGGUCAUGUUGGAUCGAGUGAUGCUAUGGGUGUCAGUCUCAGCCAGAGAUUGUGAUGUCAUCAGCACUCGACUGCUGACUGUGUUGAGUACUUUCUCCUCUUUGAGUGUUACAUCUGACUCUGUGCGAGUGAUCAACGACAUUUCAAUAUCUUCUGGAGAUGGACAUUGUUUACCCUUGGAAUUGAAUCGUUGGCUAGUGUCGAUCUGUUGCUGACGCCGGAAUCCAAUCGGGGACAUAGUUGAGGAUCGACUCAGUCGAUUCAUUCUGCGAGAUUUCUCCAUCGAUAAGAAAGGUGAGUUUGGCAAAGACUUUUGUAACCGAAUCAGAUUGCUAAAUCGUUUUGGUACCAGCCACCUCUUUUUCUCUGGUAGAUCCAUGUCCGCAUUUAAAGUUUCAACCGAUGACAACGAAGUGGCCGUAGACACAAGCUGAUAUUCGCUCGCCCCAGACCAAAGACUAGUGCUGUCAUGCCGUUUGCCUGCACUGCCUUUCCUUCCCUUUCGGCCGUGCUUAUGAUGAAACCCGCAUUUGCUGUAAAACACCACCAGAAACGUAACGGCGCAAAAGAGCAUCAAAAGUAGACUGGACAGAGUUAAGACUGGCGGUGGAAGCAUGUGAUGUUCAAGUUUCGUUCGAUGUUCCAGUCCGUUGGCGUCUUCUGCUGAUUAUACCUGAAGUAAUGCUUGUGACGAAUCCAGCGACGCAUUUGGAAUGCGAUAUGGAAGGUUUUCUAGUAAUGUUGAAUUCAAUCAGCAGCUGAGGAGAACUGGUCGUCAGAAUGCCAAUCAAUGGAGAACUAAUAGUCUCGUUAUUCAGCAACGCGAUCAAAGGAGAAUAAACAGAAAUUCCAUCGCGGAUUGUCAGUCGAUCGUCGGCACUGCAAUCCAAACGAAGUAAACACCCAAGUGAUGUAACCGCUAGGGCAGAGAGUGGAGGAGACGACCAACGAAAAGGUUCCAUCUCCCAGUUGCAUAGUGCAUCCGCACAUGCAUUCCGACGUUAAGUUUCCAAUUGCCGGACCAUCUUGCUCUUCCAGCUCCACCGACUUGUCGGUUUUCUCCUUCUGCGGACAAGAUGGCGCUUCACAACUCACCGAUUCAAUCGGCUGGCCCUGUUUUAGUUUACCACGCAGAAUGAACCGGCGUGUUGCGGAGAAGGCCGAUCGCAGUAGCGGUAACGAAAGCGGACGCCCUUGUAUCCGCAAUUCCGCGACGUACAUGACGAGAACGCACUCCACGUACCCCACUCCGGUUCCUGGAAAACUGAUGCAGACCCAAAUAUAAGGCGAUGUCUGGCUGUGAAUAGAGCAAGGCUCCAACCCAGAUGGCUCUAAAUUUUCAGCGUGCCCCUCCUGCCGAUAGGUCUGGCUGAUGUCUACAACGGCCCCGUCCGUUUGUGCCAAGGUUACCAAGUGGAAGCAAAGUGAAUCGAAGUCGGCCGUGCCAUCCAAUAAACGACAGGAUAAAGCUGCGACGGAACGGUUGGGAUCCAGGACUUUCUCUCCGAUGUAUUUCAAAGUGAAAUCAUCAGAUGAAAUGUUUGACAAAUAAGUUUUGCCGUAGAGACGGACUCGAUCUUGAGAUCCAGUCAAGCAAGACGGGCGACGGUAGAAAACUGGCAGUUCACGACGACACGGCAAAACGAAUUUGGCUCGUACCUGCAACUGGAAAUCUCCAUUUAAAUGAACCUGUAUGGAUUCACUGGAGCCGAUGAUGCCGUCGUCAUCUUCUUCUUCCGUCUCUUCUCCAGCAUCUUCUCGAACCGCUCGAACGAAGAUUCGAUAGUAUCCCAGAUGAUCGAGAUCUUGGCAGUCGAAUAGGAUGUCAACCCCCAUUCCGCCCGUUUGCCAUAUGUUCGGGAUGGAUCGGGAUGCUCGAACCGAAGGGGCUGUGCAAUUAUGGCUAAAAGAGCUGUUGCCCCGGCGUCCGCAAUGGACCACUUGGGCAAUGAUAGUGAUGUUGGCAUCGCGAGGAGGGUAGCACUUUAAGUGUAGCCACUGGAUUUUGACUUGGAAGGGUGUGCGGUAAUUGACGAGUUCCUCAGGAGCCUGGACAAGGAUCGGCGGCCAAGAAACUCUUAACUCUUGAUGAUCGAUCCAUCGAUCGUCAUUGUGUUGUAACUGUACGGUAUAGAACCCAGCCCGGUUGAUGACUCCGCAUGGAAACGUAACGUUUUUUUCUUGGUCUCCAUCGGCGCUCCUCCUCCACUCUGCAACGGCCGAGCCGUUGGCCUUGUUCAAAACCCGCGCUCCUGUCAAGUUUUCUCGAGAAUCAACCGCCACGUUCAAAUCUCCUUGAAGAGCGAUGUAAUGGAGCGGUUCGUCUUGGUAUGGAUCGGCGGCAACACCUUGGGAAAUCGAUUGAUCAACUCACCUGACAGCCCACAGGAGACGAUCACCGCCCACGUCACCCACAACCGUCGCAUUUCCUUUCGGAUCCUUAACUGAUGGCGACUCGAUUGCAGUAACACAUUCAACCCGGAUGGCACCAUGCAUACACACCGCACUAUUCGUCAACCCCGGAUGAAAAACAGCUGACUUAAAUAGGAAUUGCUCUCUGUGAUUCGGCUUGAGUUACGUCAUCGAACAUUUACCUCGUCACCUGGUGGAGGUGGAUAAAAGUAUAUGUUGGAGUCCUUAGAAGCCCCUCUUAAAGGACUCUAGAUGUCACUGCCGUUUUCUGCCGCAAUAGUGAUUGCUCUUGUUUAAAAAAUUUCUUGACCGACCAAUAUAGUGUGAAAAUUUUUUCUUUGCUUCCAGCACUGAUGAAGAACCGGAGGAGAAGUUGGAAACAGGAUAUUUUAAUUUACUAUGAUCCUGUCUGAGGUACCGAUCAUUUGUUUUUUUAUACCGGAAUUUGUCUCCUGCACUUUCACUAGGUUUCUUAUUUGUAAUACGCAAACCGAUUUUCAUGAUAACAACAACUUUGUUAUUGCUUGUUGAAUAAGUGACUCUUAAUUUGUCCAGCAGGGUACGAAGGAUUACGCCAUUGGUGGUUUUCGAGACGUACGAUGGAUUUUUCGUACUGAUGUGUUCGGAUAAAAUCUAUUGCAACGAAAUCUUUCGUUGCGCUACCUACAGAUAUUGACUAGUGCAACGAAAUAUUUCAUUUUGUAAAUAGACAAAAUUAGAGUACCGCAAAGGCGCAAAUUUUACUUGUCUUGUAAAUUUUAAAACAUUUUCUGUACACUUAAUUUAAUAUUUAUCAACUUAGUUCUAUCAAAUGUUGUUUCGGUUUUUCUUUCUUCUUUCUCUUACAAUAAUGACAGUAAUCUGGUAUUUAUUCAAGUUGUUACAUGCCGGCUAUGGUGCUGCUUCCUUUCAUCUUGUUGAUUAAUUCCUGUAAUAGCAUUGAGGAAGAAGAUAGAAUUGAGGGAAGAUAGAAAUAAUAGUAUAAAACUGUCAAUGCGGUGGUGUAGAGGUUGGGUGAGAACUGGACGUGUUGCAUCAUUAUCAUUUAUCAAGCAGACCCAUCCCCAGCAACGUCAACCUAAAAGGCCAGUUUGCAAUUCCUUCACGCUCGAAGGUCAUGGAGAUCAUUACGUAAAACGUGUCAUGCGACGGCACAGAGGUUGGGUGAGGACGACACGUGUGACAUCAUUAUCAAUCCCACUCCCUGUGCCAUCUGACCAUGUGUCCUGAAAGUGGUGUGCGUAUGCUGAAAUCUCGUCUCGUACUAGAAACUUUAUUGGAAUGAUCAUAGACGUCAAGCACAUUGAUAACAAAUGAUAAACAAGGGUCUAAACUAUAUAUUUCUAAAUUUGCAUACCAGACUUUAUGAGAAGUCGUGUCGUUUGAAGAAGAACGACGAUGACUAUACAGUCAACAAGGUCCCUUGUUUGAAAACCCGUUGUCUGCUACCUGUGAAUCUCCCUUUUUAUUUCCUUAAACGGGCCCUCUUAAUUGAGGGUAACUCCUUCGCUACUGAUCAUCCACUGGACCCGACUUCAUCCAUUGGUGAAAGCUGAUGAGAGAAUGUUGUAAUUCAAGACUGAUAAAUUGUGUAGUUGUUAGAUAAAUUCCAAGUGCAUAUCUGAGCUCCCUUCUUUAGUGGCCCCGUUUCCCUAACUAACCACUAACCAACGCCCGCCGGUGGUCACUCACCCGCUGUGAAACCAGGAGGAGGGGAGGGCUCUGGUCGAACGGGGACUUGGAAGGUGCAUGA
rnacentral:lncRNA from 1 species